GACGAACGCUGGCGGCGUGCUUAACACAUGCAAGUCGAACGGAAAGGCCUCUUUCGGGGGGUACUCGAGUGGCGAACGGGUGAGUAACACGUGAGUAACCUGCCCUUGACUUUGGGAUAACUUCAGGAAACUGGGGCUAAUACCGGAUAGGAGCUCCUGCUGCAUGGUGGGGGUUGGAAAGUUUCGGCGGUUGGGGAUGGACUCGCGGCUUAUCAGCUUGUUGGUGGGGUAGUGGCUUACCAAGGCUUUGACGGGUAGCCGGCCUGAGAGGGUGACCGGCCACAUUGGGACUGAGAUACGGCCCAGACUCCUACGAGAGGCAGCAGUGGGGAAUAUUGCACAAUGGGUGGAAGCCUGAUGCAGCAACGCCGUGUGCGGGAUGACGGCCUUCGGGUUGUAAACCGCUUUCGCUCAUGACGAAGCUUUGUGUGACGUUAGUGGGUAAAGAAGCACCGGCUAACUACGUG
rnacentral:rRNA from 1 species